CCUACGGGAGGCAGCAGUGAGGAAUAUUGGUCAAUGGACGAGAGUCUGAACCAGCCAAGUAGCGUGAAGGAUGACUGCCCUAUGGGUUGUAAACUUCUUUUAUAUGGGAAUAAAACGUUCCACGUGUGGGAUUUUGUAUGUACCAUAUGAAUAAGGAUCGGCUAACUCCGUGCCAGCAGCCGCGGUAAUACGGAGGAUCCGAGCGUUAUCCGGAUUUAUUGGGUUUAAAGGGAGCGUAAGUGGAUUGUUAAGUCAUUUGUGAAAGUUUGCGGCUCAACCGUAAAAUUGCAGUUGAAACUGGCAGUCUUGAGUACAGUAGAGGUGGGCGGAAUUCGUGGUGUAGCGGUGAAAUGCUUAGAUAUCACGAAGAACUCCGAUUGCGAAGGCAGUUCACUGGACUGCAACUGACACUGAGGCUCGAAAGUGUGGGUAUCAAACAGGAUUAGAUACCCCUGUAGUC
rnacentral:rRNA from 1 species